UGAGCCAAGUUUAUAAGGUUUUCUCAAAACCUAAUUGCAGUAUUGAACUGAAGAGUUUGAUCAUGGCUCAGAUUGAACGCUGGCGGCAGGCCUAACACAUGCAAGUCGAGCGGUAACAGAGAGUAGCUUGCUACUUUGCUGACGAGC
rnacentral:rRNA from 1 species